rnacentral:rRNA from 1 species
GACGAACGCUGGCGGCGUGCUUAACACAUGCAAGUCGAACGGAAAGGCCUCUUUCGGGGGGUACUCGAGUGGCGAACGGGUGAGUAACACGUGAGUAACCUGCCCUUGACUUUGGGUUAACUUCAUGAAACUGGGGCUAAUACCUGAUAGGAGCUCCUUCUGCAUGGUGGGGGUUAGAGAGUUUCGGCGGUUGGGGAUGGCCUCGCGGCUGAUCAGCUAGUUGGUGGGGUGAUGGCUUGCCAAGGCGUUGACGGGUAGCCGGUCCGAGAGGGUGACGGGCCACACGGGAGCUGGGACGCGGUCCAGAGUCCUACGGGAGGCCGCAGUAGGGAAUGGUCCGCAAUGGGCGAAAGCCUGACGGAGCGGCGCCGCGUGAGUGAUGAAGGGCGUCGGAUGGUAAAACUCUGUUAGUGGGGAAAAACAAAUGUGUAAGUAACUAUGCUCGUCUUGACGGUAGCGAAUAAGAAAGCCACGGCUAACUACGUG